rnacentral:rRNA from 1 species
AUUGAACGCUGGCGGCAUGCCUAACACAUGCAAGUCGAGCGAGCGGCGGACGGGUGCGUACUGUCUGGGAAACCGCCCGAUGGAGGGGGAUAACUCCUGGAAACGGUAGCUAAUACCGCAUACCAUCAGCUGUGCCCAGAUGGGAUUAGCUAGUAGGGGAGGGAAAGGCUCACCAAGGCGACGAUCCCUAGCUGGUCUGAGAGGAUGACCAGCCACACUGGAACUGAGACACGGUCCAGACUCCUACGGGAGGCAGCAGUGGGGAAUAUUGCACAAUGGGCGAAAGCCUGAUGCAGCCAUGCCGCGUGUAUGAAGAAGGCCUUCGGGUUGUAAAGUACUUUCAGCGGGGAAGCGGUACCCGCAGAAGAAGCACCGGCUAACUCCGUGCCAGCCGCCGCGGUAAUUC